UCUGUGAUAUCUAUAUGCCACAUCUGUAAAAUAGGAUAGGAGUUCUACCUCAGUCAGCCCAGCAUAUGGGGCAAACGUUUUCGACGUCAGCCAACUGACUGCCUGUAAGCUGCAGGGCUACUACCCUUUCAUACAGGCAGUUAACAUGGAGAGGAUUUGAAAAGUUCAAUCCUCUUCUCAUCACAGAGAUGCUUUGAAGUUAUGAGAAUCUCUCGUCUCAAUCACUUUUUUUCUGCAGUUCCACACACAGGAGGACCAAAGGAGAGUGCCUAGAUUUAUGAAGGAUCCUUAAAAGUGCCGCUCAUGAGGUUGCUCGCUGUUGGAUCGCUCUCUGAAUACAUCCCAAAUGCAAUCCUAUUCCCUUUAUAGUGCACUACUCUAGACACAGCCUACUUUUACACAUGCUACUGCCAGAUGAGCUGCAACAAAACCCAUUAAUCACACUGAAUUAAAACAUGCUGGACAUUAAAGUGAUUAAUUCAAGGAGUCAAGUCAAGAGCCCGGAGAGUAAAUCUCCUAUUGGUUUAUUUACUGCCCCAAUGCAUACUGUCUGUCACUUACUUCAAACAGGUCUGCAUUAGAGCCUGGAGGGGUUGUGAACUAUGUGAUGUCUGGUGUGUUGUGCCAUUGCCAGUUGCUUGAGUGUGUGUUCCUAUUGUGCUGUCAACUCCUCUCAGGUUAGUCAGUCUGCUCUCAUAGAAACGUGUCUUUCUCUUUAUUCAACACUUUGUACAAUGUAGUGUACUCUCAUACCAAACAUAUGAAGACAUUAGAUUGAGUCAUUAUAUUGAUUGUGAUACAGUAUAUCGUACUUCUCAUUAAUUACUUAAAAGUGAUGACACGAAUAAUCGAAAUAUAAGCAGCAAAUUGGAAUUUUACAUAAUAUGCCUAAAAUAUUCUGCCCUCUGGUAAACAUAUAUUUAUAUUUCACUUAAAAAGUCCAAUUUAAAAUUCAAAAUAGUAUUUUUAAACAUUCCAGUACAUGACUGUGAAAAAAACAUUCGGCAGAGCAAGAUUGAAUAAAACACACACUUCCCCGACCUAUUCAAUACCCAUCAUCACUUCCCCCCACGCUUCCCCAACCUAUUCAAUACCCCGCACUUCCACAACCUAUCCAAUACCCC
ensembl:lncRNA